GUGUAACUAGCAUGAUAAUUUAUGCAUCGCAGAGUUGAUAACUCACGUACAAACACCGUGGUAAGUUUUGACCCGGAAAAAUAGUUGUUGAAAACAAUAGUCCACGGUAACUUCUGUGUAAAUUGCAUGGUAAUAUACUCAGUGCAUACCUAAUAAGUUAGGCACAUACACGACGGUAACUUAUAGCCGGUGAAAAAGUUGUUGAAAUACACACAUCGAUAACUUGUAUACAAAUAGGAUGAUAAUAUACAUACAACAAACAUGAUAACUCAUGCACAAACACCGCAAUAGCUUUUUUGAACGGAAAAAAGGUUGUUGAGAAAUAUAUUCCGAUAACUUGUGUGUAAGUAGCAUGGUAAUUAAGGACAGUAUAACUGAACCCUUUUCGAGGCCUCUCACGCUAUCAACCUUCUGAGCCGUUGGAUAGUCAUUUCUGGUCGUCAUCUGCCGUUGGAUACUCGUUACACGCAUCGCUGCCACGACUUGGGCCGACUGUCCGUUAAACAGCUACUCCCGUAGAAAAAUCGGAAGCAUCUGGUUAAUCGGGCCAUCUAUCCGGCCCAUUUAGCGUCAUGCCCUCGGAAAGGAAAUCCCUCCUGGCGGUCCAAAAAAACCCAAUAAAUCGCUCGCUCCCCUCCCGACCUCUCCUCUCCCUCGCGAUCUGGAAGAGACAUGAGAAUCGCCACAUCGCUCGCUCCCUCCUUCCUCUCCUCUCCCUCCCGAUCUGGAAGAAUCGAAGAGACAUGAGAAUCGACGCAUCGCCUCAUGCGCAUCCGCCCCUCCCGAUCCUUUUCGGUCCACGAUCGCUAGCAGAGGGAUCCCCUCGAGAGAGGAGGACGAGCGAUCGGUCUUGCUGAUCCGUCGGUGCGAAAGGGAAGAUGAGGGCAUCUGGUCGCCGCGACUUUGAGGACCAGGGAUCGGUCAGUUUCUCGGCUCCGGCAAGCCGAUGCUCUGCAGGAAACACAAAGGUCCGUCCCGCCCGCCAUUGCGGACCAGGCCUCGGGCACCGACCCUCGAUCUCUUCUUCCUCGUCAUUCCGGGACUCGCAAUUCACUGACGUCGACCUUACUGGCCACCUGGCACAUCGAUGGUGCCGACGAGGUUAGAUGGCGUAUGGUGGUUUUCCUUGCUAUGCUGAAAUGAGGCCAUGGCGACGGAUCCAACUGACUGCAGGGCUUGGUGCCGAUGGUAGGGCCUGGCAACGAUGGAUGAGAGAGAAACAGUUACUGAAUUAUCAUGUCAAUUUAGAUCCCCAAAUAGCUAGAAUUGCUCAAGUACAAUUCACGUUUCAGUUACAAUUUAUUCUUAUUGGCCAUGUUCAUAACAUUCUAACGGCUGAGGCAGAGUAUGUUUUGUAGAAAUGAUCCAUCGUAGUCAAAUGUCUCGCCACCUAAUGUUGUUGUAUUGAGAAGCUACAAUACGAAACCCUAGCUUUAAUCUGUAGUUUGUGUACUAUUGCUAUCUUUUUUAAAAUAAAUCUUGGCUUUGUUUA